rnacentral:rRNA from 1 species
AUUGAACGCUGGCGGCAGGCUUAACACAUGCAAGUCGAGCGGAGAUGAGGUGCUUGCACCUUAUCUUAGCGGCGGACGGGUGAGUAAUGCUUAGGAAUCUGCCUAUUAGUGGGGGACAACAUUCCGAAAGGAAUGCUAAUACCGCAUACGUCCUACGGGAGAAAGCAGGGGAUCUUCGGACAUUGCGCUAAUAGAUGAGCCUAAGUCGGAUUAGCUAGUUGGUGGGGUAAAGGCGUAACAAGGCGACGAUCUGUAGCGGGUCUGAGAGGAUGGUCCGCCAGACUGGGACUGAGACACGGCCCAGACUCCUACGGGAGGCAGCAGUGGGGAAUAUUGGACAAUGGGGGGAACCCUGAUCCAGCCAUGCCGCGUGUGUGAAGAAGGCCUUAUGGUUGUAAAGCACUUUAAGCGAGGAGGAGGCUACUGAGACUAAUACUCUUGGAUAGUGGACGUUACUCGCAGAAUAAGCACCGGCUAACUCUGUGCCAGCAGCCGCCGCAGUA